rnacentral:sRNA from 1 species
GCCGGGCAUGAUGGCGCAUGCCUAUAAUCCCAGCUACUUGGGAGGCUGAGGCAGGAGAAUCGCUUGAAUCUGGGAGGUGGAGGUUGCGGUGAGCCGAGAUUGCUCCAUUGCACUCCAGCCUGGGCAACAGGAGCGAAACUCCAUCUCAAAAAAAAAAAGAGAGAGAGAAAAAAAAAGAGAUGAGGUCUUGCUCUGUCACCCAGGCUAGAGUGCAGUGGCACAACUGUAGCUCACUGCAGCCUUGAACUCCUGGGCUCAAGUGAUCCUCCUGCCUCA